rnacentral:rRNA from 1 species
GAUGAACGCUGACAGAAUGCUUAACACAUGCAAGUCUUUGGCGAAGCUGUGCUUGCACAGCCUAGCCAAGGCGGACGGGUGAGUAACGCGUAAGGAACUUGCCCUGCAGUCAGGGAUAACAGACGGAAACGACUGAUAAGACCUGGUAAAGUCAGGCGGACUCAUGUCCAGCCUGAUGAAAAGAGAUGCUGCAGGAGAGCCUUGCGUCCUAUUAGCUUGUUGGUGGGGUAACGGCCCACCAAGGCGAUGAUAGGUAGCCGGCCUGAGAGGGUGGACGGCCACAAGGGGACUGAGAUACGGCCGUUACUCCUACGGGAGGCAGCAGUGGGGAAUAUUGGACAAUGGGGGCAACCCUGAUACAGCAAUUCUGUGUGCAAGAUGAAGGUUUUCGGAUUGUAAAGUGCUUUCAGCAGGGAAGAAAAAAAUGACGGUACCUGCAGAAGAAGCGACGGCUAAAUACGUG